UGUCACAGUGCUUGGAACCGGGAAGAUCCCAGUUGCCACGAGUGAGCAUUAGUCAUCCUCUGUCUUUGGAGAAGCUGCCACAUGUGUGUCUUGGUGGAUGGCAGCAGGAAGCUGCUGGGGGCCUUGGGAUGCUGAGGGAUGCUUCCCCCCGCCUGAGAGUAUUCCAUCCCAGAGACAAAAAUGAAGUUCUCCCACAGAAGUCUAAACUGCAUGGGAUUGCUGCCUGUUCCCUUUGCCGGCUCACAUGCUCAGCCCUGACCAAUCAUGGAAUAGAGUUGAGAAUGGAGGCUUCUGAUUUGCUGCUGGGUUGUGCACCUGCCCCUAGCUUCCCAGCAGAUUGGAAGUAAGCUGUAGAAUCUUCCAGGAGUGAGCUGAGCACCUGGGAUUUGGACUCCACUCCCCAGUCCUCGGUAAAGCACUGUAUCGCUGGUCCAGAUAGUCAGCACUGGUCUCUGUGAUUGCAAGGCUUCCACCCUUCCUGAGCGCUUGUCCUGUCUCCAUGGUCUUUCCAGGCGAUGUCCUGUGGGGACGUGAGCCCAUCCCUGUCCCAAGCAGAUCUGGAAACUCUGUUCUUCAGUUCUGAGUCAGAAAAUGGAGCAGAAUGAAGUUACCUCUCUCUGGUCAGAAACUUGCUUUUGUGAUUCUGUAGAACUCUCCAAGAGCCAAGGAGGAAAAGAACAGCCUCAAUCCUGUAACUGUCCUCAGUGCCUCCCCGCAGGUGUUUGGGAGACUCUGCUUGUCCAGUCAACCUGUGGACUUCACCUAUGACAGACUGGAGCCCAGGGAGGAGGAGCCCAGCCCCAGCAGCCAACUGGCAGCUGCUGCCCAUGGCUGUGGCUGUGGCCCAGGAGGUUUGUGUGGCCAAAGGGGACAGAAGAGCUGUUUGUGUGGUGCUGCAGAGCCCUGGGUACUGAAUGCCUGACCCACCGGUGGGCAUGCUUGGGGGUGCCCAUGUGCCAAUGAACCCAUAGGAUUCUGGGUACUGACUCCCUAGCUGCAGAGGAAGUCAUUUUAGGAGGUAAUAGAGCCAGUUUAUGUAAGAUGUUCAAGUUAGGUCUGUGUUAAUUUUUAUUAGAAAAAUAUUAUGUUUCCCUGACAGUAGAUAUCAGAUUUUCCUUUAAACUUAAGGAUACAUUACAUAUGCAUUCAUUUUAGACCACGAAGUUUUCUUAGGCUAAAAUCCUUCUGGUAGUAGGCUGAGUGACAAUUGGGAGAUACUGUGAGAUACGGAGCACCCCUCUGAAGGAGGUGAAAGUUCAGGGGGAGGGCCGUGUACCCCUUGGGGAGCUUGCACAUCAGGAAGGAAGGAGAGGGAGGAAAUGGUGAUAACGGGUCAGGGACAUGGGCCUGGUCAGCCCUGCGAGAAGCUCCCUGGUGCCUGGGGGGCUAGGAAGAUGCUAUGCACUCAGAGGAGAUGUGGUGGCCAGGUGCGCUCUGUGACUCUUGCCUGCCAUUACUUAAAGGCAGUCA
rnacentral:lncRNA from 1 species